UUUUUUUUUUUUUUUCUAUGAGUAAGGAGGUCCAGACACAGUUGACCCCUAACUCGCUCCCAUGAUUAUAUUGGAGACACUAGAAGUCUUUAUUAACAACCAUCCAAAAGUUUCUCCUCUUCAAAAAUGCGAUUAUGGGUAGUCUGUAUCAGUCAUUCAAUCAUGAAGAAGAUAAAACAACACAGGUCCCCUCAGGACAAAUGCUAGUUCUAACCCAGACUUAAGAGUUAUCACCAAAAUUUCCAAAGAAACUACAUUCAAAGUCUCUAUCAAUACGUCCUCAUGUUAGAUCAAAUUGGGGUUGAUCUAAAGCAGUUCAUAGCGGAUGGGUGUUAGAGUCCCUAGGGGAGAUUUCGGAGUGGUUUCCCUCCUCACUUCCGGUUUGUUGUCUUUAGGAUGCAGGCUGGGAAUCAGCACGGUUAAUGGGCUCUUGUACAGAUUCAGACUGGAGCAGAUUUUGUACUUUGAGUACAGAUUUAAAGUGUGACUUCACAGCUCCUUCAUCCUUUAGCAAAGUUUCUGCCUUCAUUCCACUUCACAUAGAUCCACCCCCAGAAGACAUCCUAAAAUAUCAGAAAAGUUACGUGCCAUUUCCUUUUAAGCUUAAAAUCCAUGUCAUCUGUGACAGCGAGGAUAGAAGUUCACACUUCAGAUGAGAGCCUCCAAAUCAUUAGUGAUCAACCCUGAAAUAGCUUGAAAUUCUCUCCUCUGCCUUAUAUCCCUGCAAAGAAUAAAGCAAAAGCAAAAACCAAAGCUUUUCACUUUCCAGAUGUUUGAGAACUAUGUUUUACUCUUUUUAGUUCAAGAUACCAACUGCUUUUUUAAACUCAGCUUAUUCUUCUAUAUUCGGUGCUCUGAGCUCUUCCAUGUGGUUCUCAGAACAAGACUAUGUCAUACAUAUUAUUAUUGCUUUGUGGCGGUAAAGAAGCUGAAACUCACAGAAAUUAAAUAAAUUAUUCAAAAUCAGGAAACAAAUGACAGAGGAUUUUACUCUGAGGCCAUCUGACUUGAAUACUUAGAUGCUAAACCUGGACUACGCCUUAGAAGGACCUCAUCUAUUGCAUCUUGCCUGCUUCAAGUACCCGUGGAUAUUCUGUAUAAGUCACUUGGUAAUAUGUAUCCACAUAGAUAACAUUUAGGAAAUGCAAGCCUGUGAAUCCCCUCCUUCACCUCAACAUCAAAUGCAAAAAAAAAAAGUGUAUUGCUUUUUUCUCUCAGUCAUGUGUAACAUGGCUCUGAGUCUUUCCCUGACACAAAGCGGAGAUAUCCAACAUCAGUCAUCUUUGGAAGAGAUAUUUCCACAGGUUGAUACACUUGACAGUCUCUGCUACUGAGUGGGCACUUUGAUCGCUAAUAUCAUCCGAGUGUACACAGUACAUUUAAAUAAAGGUGAGAUAGGCAAGGCUUCCAUCCCUCUGUUCCAAGCUGAAACACAGGGAAUUCUGCUCAGCCUCCUGACCAGUGAUGUAGAAGGAGUUCAGCCUUCUCUAGGUGCUUCACACACCUAUUCUCCCAUUCAAUUACCUCCAUGGAUGCUGAGGUCCAAAUUUUUCUGGUCUUAAUUGAAUUCUCAUUUAGAGUGAGACAAUUCAAUUUUUCUCAAUGGGACUGAAUUAAAAAAAACUAGGAGAAUAAGAACAUAAGAAAUUCUUUUAUUUUCCAUUUUAAAAAGUUUUAUUGAAGUGGAGUUGAUGUAUGUUGUUGUGAUAAUUUCUGCUGUAGAGUAAGUGAAUCAGUUAUACAUAUACACACCAUCCAUUCUUUUGCAGAUUCUUUUCUCACAUGGAUUAUCACAGAAUAUUGGGUAUAGUUGUCUGUGUUAUACAACAGGUCCCUGUUGGCUAGUCAUUCCAUAUACCUCAGUGUGAAUAUACCAAUCCCAAACCUCUGGUCUAUCCCUCACCCCCAACUGUCCCAUUUAGUAACAAGAGUAUAUUUUCAAAGUCUGUGAAUCUAUUAUAUUUUCAAGGGGUGUUGGCUUUUUCUCUAGACAUAGUAUGGGAAAGAAACAGACAUACUUUAUUUUGACAUAGUGAAGAUGGCAUUAAAAAAAGAUAAGAUUUAUUUAUUGAUAACUCCAUAUUUUUAGAAAUGAUAUCUGUAAGAAGCUACUUAGACUAUAAAAACUAAGAUCAGUUAACCAAUAUGAAAAAUGAAAGAUAUUAUUUUACCUUUAUUUAGUCAUUCUCUGAACUUUACUCUUUUUUUUUUUUUUUAAGGGCUGCACCUGUGACAUAUGGAGGUUCCCAGGCGAGGGGUCAAAUCAGAGCUGCAGCUGUUGGUCUACACCACAGCUCAAGGCAAUGCUGGAUUCUUAACCCACUGAGCAAGGCCAGGGAUUGAACUCUCAUCCUCAUGGAUACUAAUCAGUUAGCUGAGCUCUGAUAGGAACUCCUGAACUUUUCUUUAUACAUAUCUGACUUUCUGAGCUAUAUCUUUUUCCUUCUCUCUGAACAAAAUCUUUGAACACUUUUUGCGAGAAGUUUGUGCUGAAAUGCAAUUUCUAAGUUUUUGUUUGUGUGAAAAAGUCUUUUAUUUCUCCUUCACUUUUAAAGGAUAUACUGUUUCAGAGUAUGAAAUUAUAGGUUGGUAACCUUUUAAGACUUUAAAUGUUUCACUCUACUCUCUUAUUUGCAUAGUGUCUAAUGUAAUUAUUUUCCUCUUUAGUUUUCAUCAAGACUAUGCAGUUUGAGUAGGAUUCCCUAGAUAUGGAUUUUAUUUAUAUUUUGCUUGAUGUUCUCUGAGUUUCCUGGGUCUGUGUUGUGUUGUCUGUUAUUUAUUUUGGAAAGUGCCAACCUAUUGUUACUUCAAAUAUGUCCUCUGCUCUAUUCUCUCCUCUGCUUCUGGUAUUGAAAUUCUGGUAUUAUACCUUAUAAAUUUUUUCCCAGUGCUCGAAUGUCUUAUCUUUUCAAUACUUUCUACCUUCAAAUUUUAGUUUGAGAAGUUUCUGUGGAUCAAUUUUCAAGCUAAUUGGGUCUUUCUUCACUUAUUUUGAGUCUAAGGAUGAGCCCAUCAAAGACAUUCUUCACUUCUGUUGUUUUCUCUUUUUAGCAUUUCAUUUUGCUUUUUUGUUAGAGGGUCCUUCUCUCUGCUUCCAUUAUCCAUCUAGCUGUCUACCUUUUCAUUGGAGUCUUGAUUAUAUUAAACAUAGUUAGUUUAAAUUCUUCCAACAUCUGUGUCGUAUAUCUGGGUCUAGUUGUGAUUGUUGCUUUGUCUCUUCAGACUGUUCUUUUUGAUUUCUUGUCUCUUAGCCUGAUGUAAUUCUUGUUGAAAGCUGGACAUAUUGUACUAGGCUAUAGGACAUUAGGAAGAUGGAUCAUUAGCACGAGGUUUUAUGUUCAUAUGACUAGCAGAUGUGUUGGUUUAAAGUACUGUGGGUGUGGGAGCCAGAAACUUUAUACCUUCCUAUUGUCUUUAUUUCUGUCUCUGCUGUGAACUUUGAAUUUCUUGAGGUACUUUCAUUCAGAGUAAGAAUACAUCUUUUGCGGUUCUUUCAUCUGCUGCCCUCUGAGUCAUCACUGACCCUUCUCUUUUUCUUAUACUCACAUCAAACACGUCAGAACAUCCUACUGGCCUCAUCUUGAACACACACCCAGUCUGAACUUGCCUGCAUGUACCUUCAUGUGAUUACCAACAUCUGCUGCCUGGAUUUUUACAACAACUUCUUAACUGGUUCUAGGACUUUUUUCCUUGUCCUUUGAAGCAGAUGUCUUUUUGAUCCUCUAAAUCUUCCCUCUGCUUUGGUUUAUGCUCUGGCAUCCACUGAGCUUCAUUCUGCAAGGAUCUCUGGCAGGAGAUCAGUGGGAGAGAGGAUAGUGUGGGGGCGUAUUAGUCUCCUGGGGCUGAUGUAACAAAUUAAUCACCAACCUGGUGACUUAAAAAUAAAGAUGGAGGUUGGAAGUCCCAAACCAGUAUUAUUGGGUCACAAUCAUGAUGUCAGCAGGGCCAUGUUUUCUCCAGAGGCAAUAGGGGAAAAUUCCUUCCUGGCCUCCUUACUUCUGAUGAUGCCAAUGCUUCUUGGCUGAGGCAGCAUCAGGCCAAUUCUCAAAUUCCCCUGGCUUUCUCUUAUAAGGAUACUUGUAAAUAUGCUUAGAACCCAUGGGGAUAAUCCAAGAUAAUCUCCCCAUCUCAAUAUUCUUAGUGUAAUCCCAUCUGAAAGAGCCUUUUUUUUUUUUCCCCCAUAUAGUGUAACAUUUACAGCUUCUAGGAAUUAGGUCCUGAUAGCUCCGAGAGCUGUUUUCAUCCUACUACAGGCUGGCUGUGUCCCUCAACCAAAAGUUAUAACUAUUAUCAAGGCUGCCAUCACCACACAACUUUCUUCACCCUGAUUCUAGGGAGACUUCUAAAGAGGCUCUCCUUCACCCAUUUCUUCAGGUCUAGGGAUAACAAUGUCUGCUUUCACCACCACCACCAACAUGUUGCUCAAACUCAUAAUUGUCCAGUGUCUUGGAUUUUCCCUCUUUUCCUGCCCAUAGUACUUUCAUUUUAUUUUUCCUCAAAUUUCUAAGUUCUGUAUGCCAUGUAUUUUCUAAUAGGAUCCCAACAGAAGAAAAUCCUACAAGUCAUUUCAACACAACAGUCAAAAUAAUAAUUUUCAAACUAAGGUCCAAUUAAGAAUAAAAGCCAUUAGACCAGAAGGAACUUAAAAAGAAGAACAACAAAGCCCAAAGUUAUAGAAGGAAAGAAAUCAUAAAGAUCAGUGCAGAAAUAAAUAAAGACUAAAAAAAAAAACAACAGAAAAGAUCAGCAAAACUAAUAAGUGGUUCUUUGAAAAGAUAGGCAAAAUUGAUACAUCUUUAGCCAGAUUGAAAAAAAUAAAUAAAAGGAGUGGCACCAUAAUUAUGAAUUUCUGCAUUGAAAGUUGUUAUGCCUUACAAAAAUAAUAGGAGAACGAAGCGGGCUUCAAUUCCUCAGUGAAUAAAAGAAUACCAAAGAAGAGGUUAAAAGUGAUCACCAGUAUUAAGAGGGCACAAGAAAUUACCUUCUUUAAGGCACAUUUACUACCAGGCAGUGUCAAAUUCCAAGUAUUUAAAAAAGUGUCCAGAUGAAGCAGAACAGGAAUUAGGACCAUUAAGCAUUCUCCUUCCUUUGGGAAGUGAAGUUCAGUUCACAUACCAUGCACUAGCUGUAUGGCUGAAUCUAAGAGAAAAUCUAAUCGCUGUGUAUAUAAAGCCCUAACAUUACUGCAGAAGGAAAAUGCACAUUUUAUUGCAUUUAUAUGAUAAAACAAUAAAAUAUAAUGAAUAUUGUCUGCAUAAGUAUAGAAAAACACUAGCUGAUAUGAAUCAAGUGCAGGUAAAAUUACUUAAAAUAUGUUUGUUGCUAUAAUAUCUGUGGGUUAUAUCAAGAAUCCUAAGUAUAAAAUAGCAGAAGGUAUCUCAAAACCCUAAGAUCUCAUUGUACUCUUUCUGAUGGGAAGUCUAACUGUUCACAUUUGCUGUGGAAACAGAUGCCCAAGCUCUAAUCUCCUCCUCUCCCUCCUCUUCAUUAUUUCACCAUGUUCUGCCUGUCAGUGUGAUUCUGUC
rnacentral:lncRNA from 1 species